rnacentral:rRNA from 1 species
UACGUAGGGUGCGAGCGUUAAUCGGAAUUACUGGGCGUAAAGCGUGCGCAGGCGGUUCUCCAAGUCCGUUGUGAAAGCCCCGGGCUCAACCUGGGAAUGGCAGUGGAAACUAGGGGACUUGAAUCUGGCAGAGGGGGGUGGAAUUCCACGUGUAGCAGUGAAAUGCGUAGAGAUGUGGAGGAACACCAAUUGCGAAGGCAGCUCGCUGGGACGUUACUGACGCUGAGACGCGAAAGCGUGGGGAGCAAACAGG